rnacentral:rRNA from 1 species
AGGUUUCCUUGGGCCAGGAGGAGAUUGACCUUCGAGUGCAAAGGCCAAAGCGAGCUUGACUGCAAGACCCACCAGUC